GGUGGCGUAGCUCAGUUGGUGAGAGCGGUGGAUUCAUAACCCGCAGGUCCCCGGUUCGAGUCCGGGCGCCACCA
rnacentral:tRNA from 1 species